rnacentral:rRNA from 1 species
UACAGGAGGGGCGAGCGUUGUUCGGAAUUACUGGGCGUAAAGGGCGCGUAGGCGGCCUGCUAUGUCGAACGUGAAAUCCCUGGGACUCCAACCCAGGAACUGCGUCCGGAAACUGGCAGGCUCGAAUCCGGGAGAGGGGAUGUGGAAUUCCAGGUGUAGCGGUGAAAUGACUGUGAGAUAUCUGGAGGAACACCGGUGGCGAAGGCGGCGAUCCUGGGAC